rnacentral:rRNA from 1 species
GCGAGUGGCGAACGGGUGAGUAAUACAUCGGAACGUGCCCAAUCGUGGGGGAUAGCGCAGCGAAAGCUGUGCUAAUCCCGCAUAUGAUCUAUGGAUGAAAGCAGGGGAUCGCAAGACCUUGCGCGAAUGGAGCGGCAGAUGGCAGAUUAGGUAGUUGGUGAGGUAAAGGCUCACCAAGCCUUGGAUCUGUAGCUGGUCUGAGAGGACGACCAGCCACACUGGGACUGAGACACGGCCCAGACUCCUACGGGAGGCAGCAGUGGGGAAUUUUGGACAAUGGGCGAAAGCCUGAUCCAGCCAUGCCGCGUGCAGGAUGAAGGCCUUCGGGUUGUAAACUGCUUUUGUACGGAACGAAACGACCUUUUCUAAUAAAGAGGGCUAAUGACGGUACCGUAAGAAUAAGCACCGGCUAACUACGUGCCAGCAGCCGCGGUAAUACGUAGGGUGCAAGCGUUAAUCGGAAUUACUGGGCGUAAAGCGUGCGCAGGCGGUUAUGUAAGACAGUUGUGAAAUCCCCGGGCUCAACCUGGGAACUGCAUCUGUGACUGCAUAGCUAGAGUACGGUAGAGGGGGAUGGAAUUCCGCGUGUAGCAGUG